rnacentral:SRP_RNA from 1 species
GCCGGGCGUGGUGGCACACACCUGUGGUCCCAGCUACUCAGGAGGCUGAGGCAGGAGAAUCGCUUGAACCCGGGAGGCGGAAGUCGUGGUGAGCUGAGAUCGCACCACUGCACUCCAGCCUUGGUGACAGAGCGAGAUUCUGUAUCCAAAAAAANNNNNNNNNNUUUUUUUGGAUACAGAAUCUCGCUCUGUCACCAAGGCUGGAGUGCAGUGGUGCGAUCUCAGCUCACCACGACUUCCGCCUCCCGGGUUCAAGCGAUUCUCCUGCCUCAG